UACCUAUCUCUGCGGAACAACACAUAGAAAUGUGUGCUAAUACAGCAUACGCCCUUAGGGGGAAAGAUUUAUCGGAGAUAGAUGAGCCCGCGUUUGAUUAGCUAGUUGGUGAGGUAAUGGCUCACCAAGGCGACGAUCAAUAGCUGGUCUGAGAGGAUGAUCAGCCACACUGGGACUGAGACACGGCCCAGACUCCUACGGGAGGCAGCAGUGGGGAAUAUUGGACAAUGGGCGCAAGCCUGAUCCAGCCAUGCCGCGUGUGUGAUGAAGGCCCUAGGGUUGUAAAGCACUUUCGCANGUGAAGAUAAUGACGGUAACCUGUAAAGAAGCCCCGGCUAACUUCGUGCCA
rnacentral:rRNA from 1 species